UGACCUCAAAUCAGGUAGGACUACCCGCUGAACUUAAGCAUAUCAAUAAGCGGAGGAAAAGAAACCAACCGGGAUUGCCUCAGUAACGGCGAGUGAAGCGGCAAAAGCUCAAAUUUGAAAUCUGCGUAAGCCGAGUUGUAAUUUGAAGAUGGCUACUUUGGUAAUGGCUCUUGUCUAUGUUCCUUGGAACAGGACGUCACAGAGGGUGAGAAUCCCGUGCGAUGAGAUGUCCAUUACCGUGUAAAGUGCUUUCGAAGAGUCGAGUUGUUUGGGAAUGCAGCUCUAAGUGGGUGGUAAAUUCCAUCUAAAGCUAAAUAUUGGCGAGAGACCGAUAGCGAACAAGUACAGUGAUGGAAAGAUGAAAAGAACUUUGAAAAGAGAGUGAAAAAGUACGUGAAAUUGUUGAAAGGGAAGGGCUUGAGAUCAGACUUGGUAUUUUGUAUGGCUUGCUUUCGGGCGGGUCCUCUGCAGUUUACUGGGCCAGCAUCGGUUUGGGUGGCAGGAUAAUAGCAUAGGAAUGUGGCUCUACUUCGGUGGAGUGUUAUAGCCUUUGUUGAUACUGCCUGCCUAGACCGAGGACUGCGUCUUUUGACUAGGAUGCUGGCAUAAUGAUCCUAAGCCGCCG
rnacentral:rRNA from 1 species